GAAUUGUGUUAGAUCAAGUGAAAGCUGCUAACUUAUCACUAUAGCGGUUAAAUUCCGUUUACAUUUCU
rnacentral:tRNA from 1 species